rnacentral:sRNA from 1 species
ACUUACCGUUGUGCCUCCUCCCAUUGCGCACGGUAAGUGUUCCCCUCUGGAGGUUUGCCCAAGUGGCACCUUCAUAACUUGGCCGGACUUCCCAGUCCGACUCUUUU